rnacentral:lncRNA from 1 species
UGUACUGCUGCACUUGUGAAACCAUGCCUUUACCAUUGCAUCAAUCAAUAGACCCCCCAAUGAAUAAUGCAUGAAUGUCAAGUAAUAUUUAGUAUGCCGAUGGUAAAUAUCACUCAGCUUUGUCCAAUAGUAAUAUGGAAUGAAUGUGUUGCAAAGUCGUUAAGGUGGGUUGUCUGUGGAGUGAAGACAGUAGUGUUUUAAAACAAUGUUUUUAUUUGUUGAUGGAGUUUAUGAUUGAAGAUUGAGAAUUAUGACUUGGUAAUGUGCCGUAGGAAUAAUAUUAUAGUAAUACAGUGCAACCAGGUCAUGAUCUAAUCGGGAAGAAGGGAAAUUUUUUUUCAACAUGCUUCUCUUGAAUCUCUUCAAACAUAGAAAAACUGGUAAAAGUAGGGUAUAGGUCUCCUUUUUUCCAUUAAUGAUGAUAAAACUGAGUUGCAAUAUCUUUAUUUAAACUAAUUAGAUCCUCCCUUACACAACCCAAGUUGAAUUUAUUUUCUAUUAAAAAAUGGCACAACUUUUCC